AAUAAGUGUAGUUUUACAUUAUUCACGUUCAACGUUUAACCGUUCGUCUUAUUUAAAACUUUUUUAUGAUUAGUAUUUUAUUGUUACUAGAUGAUAAAACAUGAAUAGUACUUUAUGUGUGAUUAAAUAUUUUUAAAUUUUUUACAAAUUUUUUAAAUAAGACGGACGGUUAAAUGUUAGGCAUGAAUAUCUACGGCUGUAUUUAUU
rfam:Oryza barthii chromosome 3, whole genome shotgun sequence.